GGCCUCUCAGGGUUGCACCUGGGGAGUUUCCAGUACUCUACCACACUUGACUACUGGAGGGAGAGUCAAGCAGAGGUACAUCCAUUCCAUUCCUAGCUUGGGCAGUGGCUAGCAAGUGGAAGGCAAUCUGCUACAAGU
rnacentral:snoRNA from 1 species